UACGGAGGGUGCAAACGUUGCUCGGAAUCACUGGGCGUAAAGCGCACGUAGGCGGCUUUUUAAGUCAGGGGUGAAAGCCUGGAGCUCAACUCCAGAAUUGCCUUUAAGACUGCAUCGCUUGAAUCCAGGAGAGGUGAGUGGAAUUCCGAGUGUAGAGGUGAAAUUCGUAGAUAUUCGGAAGAACACCAGUGGCGAAGGCGGCUCACUGGACUGGUAUUGACGCUGGAGGUGACGAAAGCGUGGGGAGCAAACAGGG
rnacentral:rRNA from 1 species